UCUUGGAUAGCCUGAGGGUAAGUAUAUUUUCAGCAAAAUUUUUGUUUUUGGGUGAACUAUUGCUUUAUUACAGAGCACAUUCUGGGAUUUACAAGGUUUUAUAUUACAAAAUAUUACAGACUUACCUACGUCAUAAACUGACUGUAUGGGACAUACUGCUUAUGAAAGGAACAAUGGGUUAUUUGUAUAGUAUGAAGGAGUUAGACAUUUCUGUAUGCACAAAUGAUUUAGAAAUAUUGCGAAAAAUUUAUAUUUGAUCAUAUCACAAAUACGCUAAUCUUUUAAUAUUAGAGAUACAACAGUAGUAAAUAUGUGCUAAUUUUGAGUUAAACUGAAAAAAAUAGCAAUUUUCAACAGUUCUUAUGUAUGAUAUGAUGUAUUAAAUAUUGAAAUGUUUACUUUUUUUCCUCUUUUGCUCAUUCACAAGAGCUUAUAAUGUGCAUGUAAAUACUGUAAACAUGGAUUUGUAUUGCAAAUACCCACAAGUAUGUGUGUAUGUUUUAGCAUGUUUAUCAAGACACAUUACUCAAAUGCAAUUGAAAUAAUAAGCAUAUCAGUGCAUCUCACUGUUGCAUGCUAUAAUAAGCUAGUUAACUAAUUAAAAACAAUAAACAUCAGCUCACGAUUACUAUUACUGUGGUUUAAAAAAAAAAAUACACCAGUGUUGAACAACUUAAAAAGCUGAAUAAAAUGAUAUUUCUGAAAUAUUUCUGAUGGACCGUGUCCGAUGUCUGAACAUCUGAAUGCGUUUAUUGCAUUUGUUGAGUUUCUGCCUAAAUCUAAACAUGAAUAUAUCAUUUGACUUUCAUGAAAGCAGAUGUGCUGGAUGAAAGAAACCAUCGUUCAUUCUUUCCACAAGUGUUUCUUAUAUACGAUGCUGUAACUAGCAAAACAAUAUUCUUACAAUAUUUCAUGCUACAUGCAUAAGAUUAAACAGUUUCUUUAUGUUGACAAUAGGAAUUGUUAUUUUGCAUGUAAAUGUGUCUUGUCUGAAUAAGGAUAAUCUUUAUAUAAUAAUGUGUGUUUUUUUGUUGUUGUUUUUUUUACAAAUUCAUGCAACAGCUGUCUGAAGUCUUGAUUGAUGUAACAUUCUUUGUAUGGUGUUUGGUUUGAAAUAAGCUUUGAAGUUUGAAAUGAGAAUAAAUGGUCAGUGUCAGUCUGGUCAGCUGUGACUGCUCUCCCUCAGUUCCCCAUCUUUAUAAGAGCGCCAUCAUCUGGACAGAUGGAGUAAUUAAUACAGUCAGAAGUAUUAUUCAUGGACUCACGUAGAUUAAGCAUCAGUAAAAUGUGACUUAUUCAGCCAACCAGUUAAAAAGUUUACAUCAAGAAAUAUGUCAUAAUAUAGCAAAAUAUUUAUGCCAGAUAGUGUAAAAUAAUUACUUUACCUCAUUUUUUAAUAAAGAAAGAGGCCAUUCCAAUUAUCUUGAAGAAAUGUUUAAAUGAUUAUGCACCCCAAUAUGAAUAAACAAAUAAAUACAUACAUACAUACAUGCAUGCAUACAUAGCCUAUGAAUUUAACGCGUGGGUAGACAGAUGUUUUACAUUCUUUUUAAACCGUAUGACACUCCAAUUUUGUAUAAAAAUGCUCUCAGUCGACGGUCCUUUAUUUUGAAUUUUUUCCAAAACAGGAAGUUGUGGUCCUGUGCUCUGUUUGGCUGUACAUUUCGCUACAGUGAAGCCAUGGAAGACAACAUACAAGAGGAAGUCCUUUCGCAGUUCUGGGCGGCUGGCAGAUCCUGCAGCUGACGGCGGGCACGGGUUUGGUGGUCUAUGCCGUCUGGGCAGGGAUCCUCAUGUCGGGGUUUCACCGAGUGCCUCUCAAAUUACAGCGAGCAGAGCUCAGGUGAGUAACGUCAUGACUCUGCUGAAGGGCCGAUCUGGAGGCAUCGCUGACCUGGGCUCAGGUGACGGCAGGAUUGUGUUAGAAGCGUGUCGUCAGGGUUUUUCUCCAGCAGUUGGUUAUGAGCUCAAUCUCUGGCUUGUUCGUCUUGCAAAAAAACAACACAGAAGUGUUUCAUAUCGGCGAGAAGAUUUGUGGUUGAUCUCUCGACAUAUAAAAAUGUCACAACAUUUCUAGCCCCUAGUGUGUUAAGUCUUUUACAAAAGAAGUUACUGGCUGAGCUGCCUGAAGAUGCUUUGAUUGUGGCGGGACGUUUUCCGUUUCCUGAUUGGACGGUGUGUAAAGUAGAGGGUGAAGGUGUGGACAGAGCGUGGGCCUAUCACAUACAAGAACUGAGACAUCGCUACCAGUCACAAGAUAAACAUGAGAAAACCAGCUGAGAAACAUUGAAAACCUCUGCUUUCUUAUUAUUUUAUAUUCAUUUUAUCAUGUUUAUGGAAUUAUAUAGAACGUUUUUAAAAGAUUUAAGCUGUUAAAUCAUGUUUUGUUGUGCUCUCACUCUUCAGGUAAACAUAAGAUAAGAUAUCAAAAACAAUGCUGCUGUCUGUGGGUGUUCAUUAAAGGGUUCGAACCCAUGGAUCACUUCCUGUUUCUUGAUGUGACCUAGAUAAUGUUAUGUGUCCAAUAUUUCUCUUUUACAGAAAAAAGGAAAUGAACCACAUUUAUUGUGAGUCAUCUUAUUGAAUGUGCUGUUUUGCAAAAAGUGCGUGUUUGUAAAUGUGUCACUCAAUCUGCAGUCUUACUCAACAUGUGCUUGAGUUGAUGGGUUGCAUAAUGUGAAGCCGUUGAGCAAACCACAAUAAACCAC